rnacentral:tmRNA from 1 species
GGGGGUGUACAGGUUUCGACAGAUUUGUUAGGGGAAAGUUAUAAGCAUGUUGUGUGGCUGGACACAUAAAUCACGGCAAAAAUUUAAACGCAAACACAAAUUAUGCGUAUGCUUGCUAAUUAAACUUUUUUUAGUUAGACAAACAUUGUCUGUUUCACAGUUCUUGCGAGUGAAAUAAGGCAUUAUAAAGCAAGAAAAAUAGGUUAAGUUUGUUCUUAACUUAACUUAUUAAAUAAAGAGCAAGUUGAUAAAUGGUUUUGUUUGUUUCUGUUUUUCAACUAAUUAAAACAGACUAAGCAUGUAGAAGGAUUUUGUCCGCAAGUUUGGACGCGAGUUCGAUUCUCGCCACCUCCACCA